AAAUGUCAUACAAAAU
rnacentral:sRNA from 1 species